rnacentral:sRNA from 1 species
UUCACAGUUUUGGAGAGCAAGGCCCAUUAUUUAUCCUCAGAAGAGCUACAGCAUGUGCAGCAAAAGAGCUAGUUUACCCCCGGACUGCCCUGCCAAAUGUGCCUCACCCCCUGACCUGCAGAGUUCAACUCUACUGGCGAGAGGGUAGUUUUGUCUUGAUGCUUGUUCAGCCCUUGAUCUCU